rnacentral:misc_RNA from 1 species
CUCGUACAGCUCACUCAUUGCGCAGUGGAGAGUGUCGGGUUGUACACCUGCAGAGUCGCCUCUCUCGUCUUGCACGCACAUACAAGCUUUUGCGCACGGUUGGCGCAUCCUUAGACGUAUCGUCUUCUUUCCUUCCCUCCCCAUCGCAAACAACUCUCCACCAUGGCCUCGAAGCGACGCCGGCAGUCCAGCGGUGACUCUGCGUCCUCAUCGACCUCGUCGUCCUCAACGUCCGAGCUGCCGCCCUCGAAGAAGGCGGCUGGCGGCCAGCGAGUCACGGCGGAAGCUGCAGUGGCGCCCAUCACCACGGUCGCCACGUCUGCCACUGCCACGGCUGCAGGCGGUGCGAAGAAAAAGGCGACGACCGGGAGCCCCGCACGCCGCACAAGCAGCGCGCCAAAGAUAUCAAACGGCGAUGCCGGCAGGCUGAUCCGCAGCGCUGAGGCCCUCGCCGCCCUCAACACGAAGAAGUCCGAGAAGGAGAUUUGGUCUGACGUGGUGCCGUUCGUGCGCAGGACCACGGACAGCGACUUCGACCCGUCGCGCAUGUACAAGUUCAUUACGUGGAACGUAGCCGGCCUACGCGGGCUGCUGAAGAAGAACGCCUCGGCGCUGAGAGCGUUCAUGGAGGCCGAGAAGCCGGAUGUUUUGUGCCUGCAGGAGACCAAGCUGAACGUCGACGAGGCCGAUGCCAAUGCGACCCUCGGCGUGGUGGACGGCUACUCCUUUGUGGACCACCCGUGCGCCUUCAAGCGGGGCUACUCGGGCACCCGCACCUACAUGAAGAACAGCACCACUGUGAAACGGCUGCACGCGCGGUGCACUCGUGGCUUCGCAUUGCCGUCCGAACCACAGGCAGGCGCGGCCGCCGGCUCACCGGUGCUGGUAGAAGGCGCUGGCGACGAGGAGGGCCGCGUGCUGACUACAUUCCUAUCUCCGGAUCCGGACUCUGCAUCGUCGUCGUCGCGCAUUGCCCUCGUGAACACGUACGUGGCGAACAGCGGCAUGGGACUGACGCGGCUGCCUUACCGCGUCCAAUCCUUUGAUCCCAGCAUGAGGGAGUACCUUCAGCGGCUGGAUACCUGGGCCACGGAAAAUGCCGCCGUCCCGUCGGCGGCGGCGAAGGGCGGCGACAGCAGCCCGCACGGCUUUAUCUGGGCUGGCGACCUCAAUGUGGCGGAGCGCGACUACGACCGCUACUACGCCGGUACAUUCAAGUCGAUGCAGGAGUGCAGCGGCUUUGCGCCAGAGGAGCGGAUAUCGUUUCGCGAGACGAUGCAGCGGACGAACUCGGUGGACGUCUUUCGCCAGCUCUACCCCCACGCAGGCCCGGUCUACUCCUUCUGGUCGCAGCGUAUCAACGGUCGCCCAAGAAACUUGGGGUGGCGCUUGGACUACUUCGUUGUCUCCUCGCGGCUUGCAUCGUACGUUGUGGACUGCUUCCCGAUGCCGACGGUGAUGGGCAGCGAUCAUUGUCCGUUCCAGAUGUGGAUGCAGCACCCAUGACUGCAGGCGCUGCGUCGGCCCACGGCAGAGGCGGCAGCGAUCAAGAGAGCGGGCGCGCGGUCGUUGCGCCGAUGACGCGAGUGCACGUAUGCGUGCAUGUUCCAUCCACUUCGCACGCGCUCGCAGUGGGCGGCGAAGCAGAGACACGGAGACGGAGGCUCGAAUAAAGGAGAGAGGGGCGGGAGAGCCCUCUUGGAAAAUGGUUGUGGCGGUGUGGUGGGCGGCAUCACUGCGUGCGCUUGCCAGACUUCCGCUUGUGUACGUGUGAGCGCGCGCGGCGGGGCGUGGAAAGACAGAAGAGGGGGAAGGGGAUGCGGGAGGUGACGCUUCUCAUCUCCCGCCCCGCUCACCACCUCCUUCCGGGUCAACCUCCGCUCCAAACGCACCUUCGCGUGUGUCUCUCUUUCUGGUGGUGAUGGAAUGCCGUGAUCUCCCCCGUCCUUGACCCGUUCCCUGGCCACAGGCACGGCCUGUGUGCUGCGUGCGUGCAGAUGCGCCCAUUUUCUCUAAGUUUGUGGGCUGUGCGCCUCUGCAUGUGCGCGGUAGAAAGGGGAAGAGGAGUAGAGGGUGCAGAGACGGACGCAGGCAGGGGGGGAUGCUCGCACCUUAUCGCCUAUAUCAUAGACAUGCAUAGAAGAGAGUUUGGUGAGGGUGGGGCUCAUUGCAUACGCCUGCUGGUACGAGAGGCGUGAUGCAGCGUCAGUGGGGAGGUAACGCCGAGGGGGACGGGUGUGGCGUAAGGGGGGGGGGUGCGUCUCAGCCCCCAUCCGCAUACCCUUCCCCUUCCCUUCUCUUUCCACUGAAAGACUACGCGAGCGCAGAACCCAUGUGGCGUCUCUCUUGUUGCUACGGGGGCCUUCUCGCCCCCCUUUUCCUCUGCUCCUCAUCCUCCUCCCGCGACGCCAUCGUGCAGAGGUGAUGGCGAGGCUUUAUCUGAAGCAUGUGAGCGCAAGGCACAACACCGUGUGUCUGGUGUAUAUAUAUAUAUAUAUAUGCACAUUGAAAACAACGCACGGCCACACUUCCGCACGUGCGCACCCCGGCAGCGCUCUCCAUUCUCUACUGCUCUCACGCACAACGGACGCACACGCUUUCCCUCCCUUCCUUCCUCCGUCUGGCGCGUGUGCGACGAGGGGCACUGACGUCGCUGCAUAGCCACACAGGCACACAAGCACACAAGCAAUGCAAGCGGGCAAUGGCCUGCUAGCGGACGUGCUCGCAGCGCUCCUUGGCGCGGCACAGACGACACUCCUUUCCUCUCGUCUUCUCCCCUCUGCUUUCUCCAUCUCUCACCAUCAACAAACUCACACCCCUUCCUCCUCGCCUCCGCGUUCCCGUCCCGUCCCCUCCUCCUCUCUCCAUUCGCGUCCUCAACCGCUGCGAUCGCAUACACACACACACACACACACACAG